UGAAUACGAGACGCUAAGGCGUCGAAGUAGUGUAUGUCAUACUUCCAAGAAAAGCUUGCACUGUCAUAGAUAAAAAACGCCUGUACCAUAACCGACACAGGUGGGUAGGUAGAGUAUACUAAGGCCGGGAGAUAACUCUCUCUAAGGAACUCGGCAAAAUAACUCCGUAACUUCGGGAGAAGGAGUGCCUUAUUCGUAAGGUUGCAAUAACAAGAUCCAAGCAACUGUUUAUCAAAAACACAGGUCUCCGCUAAGUCGUAAGACGAUGUAUGGGGGCUGACGCCUGCCCAGUGCCAGAAGGUUAAAGAAGUUGGUUAGCAAUUGCGAAGCUGAUAACUGAAGCCCUGGUGAACGGCGGCCGUAACUAUAACGGUCCUAAGGUAGCGAAAUUCCUUGUCGGGUAAGUUCCGACCCGCACGAAAGGCGUAAUGAUUUGGAUACUGUCUCGGAGAGGGGCUCGGUGAAAUAGACUUGUCUGUGAAGAUGCGGACUACCUGCACCAGGACAGAAAGACCCUAUGAAGUUUUACUGUAACUUGAAAUUGAAAUUGGACUUUAUUCGCGCAGUAUAGGUGGGAGGCGUUGAUUAUAAUCUUGUGGGAUUAUUGGAGCCAUCAGUGAGAUACCACUCUUGUAAUGUUAGAUUUCUAACUUUGAAUCAUUAUCUGGUCAAAGAACAGUUUCAGGCGGGCAGUUUGACUGGGGCGGUCGCCUCCUAAACGGUAACGGAGGCGUACAAAGGUUUCCUCUGAACGGUUAGAAAUCGUAUCUAGAGUGUAAAGGCAUAAGGAAGCUUGACUGUGAGACCUACAAGUCGAGCAGGGACGAAAGUCGGUCUUAGUGAUCUGACGGUACUGAGUGGAAAGGCCGUCACUCAACGGAUAAAAGUUACUCUAAGGAUAACAGGCUGAUCUCCCCCAAGAGUUCACAUCGACGGGGAGGUUUGGCACCUCGAUGUCGGCUCAUCGCAUCCUGGGGCGGUAGUACGUCCCAAGGGUUGGGCUGUUCGCCCAUGAAAGCGGUACACGAGCUGGGUUCAGAACGUCGUGAGACAGUUCGGUCCAUAUCCGGUGUAGGCGUUAGAAUAUUGAGAGGAGCCUUCUUUAGUACGAGAGGACCGAGAAGGACAUACCUCUGGUGUACCAGUUAUCGUGCCAACGGUAAACGCUGGGUAGCUAUGUAUGGAGUGGAUAACCGCUGAAAGCAUCUAAGUGGGAAGCCCACCUCAAGAUAAG
rnacentral:rRNA from 1 species